AUGGUGGUGGGAUAUCCGGUGACUCAGCCCAACCAUUCCAAAGAGGCGCAGGUUUUGUUAGAUAUCUACAUGAUGGGCUCCGAUGGAAUGGAGCGAGAGGAAAACGAGUGGAGCUUGAUUUUCUCCGAAGCCGGGUUCAGCGACUACAAGAUCACUCCAACCAAUGGGAUUCGAUCAAUUAUCGAAGUAUACCCUUAA
rnacentral:rRNA from 1 species